rnacentral:rRNA from 1 species
GACGAACGCUGGCGGCGUGCCUAAUACAUGCAAGUCGAGCGAAGCGGCGGAUGAGUGAGUAAAGCGUGGGUAACCUGCACUUAAGUCUGGGAUACCAUUUGGAAACAGAUGCUCAUACCGGAUACUAAAGGAUGGACCUGCGAUGCAGUAGCUAGUUGGUAAGGUAACGGCUUACCAAGGCGAUGAUCCCUAGGUGGUCUGAGAGGAUGACCAGCCACACGGGAACUGAGACACGGUCCAGACUCCUACGGUAGGCAGCAGUGGGGAAUAUUGCACAAUGGGCGCAAGCCUGAUGCAGCCAUGCCGCGUGUAUGAAGAAGGCCUUCGGGUUGUAAAGUACUUUCAGCGAGGAGGCGUUACUCGCAGAAGAAGCACCGGCUAACUCCGUGCCAGCAGCCGCGGUAAUAC